GAACAGGGAUUAGCCCAGCACCGAAGCCUGUGGCCAUUUGGUUACUAGGCAAUGUGGUGUUCAGGUCGUUCCGCGGAGGUUCUGCUCCAUCCUAAGUCCAUCAAUGAGUACGGUAUUAUGGACAUGGCCCAUAGAGGGUGAAAGGCCCGUGGGGGUGGAGAUUCGGUAGGCCAGAACUUCCCUGGGUAGACCUUGGAGUCGGGUUGUUUGUGAAUGCAGCCCAAAGUGGGUGGUAAACUCCAUCCAAGGCUAAAUACUUGCACGAGUCCGAUAGCGAACAAGUACCGUGAGGGAAAGUUGAAAAGUACUUUGAAGAGAGAGUAAACAGUGCGUGAAACCGCUCAGAGGUAAACGGGUGGAGUUGAACUGCAAGCUCUGGGAAUUCAACUGGUGAGUGUGGUUUGAGCUUGGUCAUAUUGGUGGACGUCGGGGUCUGCGUAGAAGCAGGUCUUCGCCUUCGGGUGGGGAUGCGCGAUGCACUUAUCAAGUGUUGUGCGCCUCGGUUGUUCCCGGCCAACUCGCUAGUGCACUUUCUCAGAGUGGUCACCACGACCGACGCCGCUGUCUGGCCGCUGUGGUUAAACCGAGUUUGCAUAGUCCGAGUGGCUUUGCUUGGUCGGGAUGGCAGGUAGCUCGUUGACUUGCUUGUGGUUCGCCGCGAGCGUGGUUUUCGAGUAUAAUCCGCUGACCGUAGUGGUUCUGUGCAGUGUGUCGGGGACGGCGGCUCGAGGUGUGUGCAUGCGUUGCUGUUUGCUGACUGGUCCGAGUUUGGUUAUUUUGUAGCCUGUUCAAUCAGGUCUGGUAGUAGCUCGGAUUUGUUCGGCUGGCGGUGGCGUGUGUGGCAUUGUUCCAAGGGCCAACAGUCUGUGGUGUAGUGGU
rnacentral:rRNA from 1 species